GUUGGCAUUCACCGAUGUGACCCUUGAUUUCUCUGAAGAGGAAUGGGAAUGCCUGGAGCCUGCUCAGAGGAACUUAUACAAAGAAGUGAUGCUAGAGACCUACAGAAACCUGGUCUUCCUUGGUUCCAGGCAUUCCCAUUCCUCUUCAGACAAAUCAAUGGCCACAUCCCUGAAUGUCAACAGUUCCUGAAAUAAGAAUAGGUCAGAAAAGACGCACAGAACAUGGAAUGUGGMAGAAUAUGCAGCAGGUAUUAAAUCCUAA